UCCGGGUUAUCCCCGGCAGUCUCGCAUGAGUCCCCAACUGAAUGAUGGCAACAUGCGACAAGGGUUGCGCUCGUUAACGGACUUAACCGUACACCUCACGGCACGAGCUGACGACAGCCAUGCAGCACCUGUGAUCUGGCCCCGAAGGGAAACCAUGUUUCCAUGGCGGUCCAGAUCAUGUCAAGCCCAGGUAAGGUUCUUCGCGUUGCAUCGAAUUAAACCACAUGCUCCACUGCUUGUGCGGGUCCCCGUCAAUUCCUUUGAGUUUUAGCCUUGCGGCCGUACUCCCCAGGCGGAGUGCUUAACGCGUUAGCUGUUUCCCGGCAGGAGUCGACACCCACCAGAAAUAGCACUCAUCGUUUACGGCGUGGACUAC
rnacentral:misc_RNA from 1 species